GACGAACGCUGGCGGCGUGCCUAAUACAUGCAAGUCGAACGAGAUCUUCGGAUCUAGUGGCGCACGGGUGCGUAACGCGUGGGAAUCUGCCCUUGGGUUCGGAAUCACUUCUGGAAACGGAAGCAAAUACCGGAUGAGGUCGUAAGUCCAAAGAUUUAUCGCCCAAGGAUGGGCCCGCGUAGGAUUAGCUAGUGGGUGGGGUAAAUGCCCGCCAAGGCGACGAUCCUGAGCUGGUCUGAGAGGAUGAUCAGCCACACUGGGACUGAGACACGGCCCAGACUACUACGCGAGGCAGCAGUAGGGAAUAUUGGACAAUGGGCGGAAGCCUGAGGCAGCCAUGCCGCGGGAGUGAUGAAGGCCUUAGGGUUGUAAAGCUCUUUUACCCGGGAUGAUAAUGACAGUACCGGGAGAAGAAGCGCCGGCUAACUCCGUG
rnacentral:rRNA from 1 species